AUGUUCGGAAGGUCUGACAAGCACUCUCCACUCCAUGGGUGACACCAGGAGAAACAGAAGCAGGUGUGCCGGCCUUAGGUCAGAGGCGCCUUCUCAUCCCCACCUGACAACACUUCUCCACUCUGGCUCCACGAGACCCGAAGGUUUGAACAACAGCGUCUGAGUCAGGCAGGCAGCUUGUCACAGGACGCCCGCGUUCCGUGAAAGCAGCAGUUGGGCCACGAAGUCAAACUGAAGCGCUGUCCGCAUUCUGGAUUCGGUGCGAGAGUUCCUUAGUGUCC